rnacentral:rRNA from 1 species
ACAGGUGCUGCAUGGCUGUCGUCAGCUCGUGUCGUGAGAUGUUGGGUUAAGUCCCGCAACGAGCGCAACCCUUGCCUUUAGUUGCCAGCAGUUCGGCUGGCACUCUAAAGGGACUGCCGGUGUUAAACCGGAGGAAGGUGGGGAUGACGUCAAGUCCUCAUGGCCUUUAUGACCAGGGCUACACACGUACUACAAUGGCCGAUACAAAGGGCAGCGACACUGCGAGGUGAAGCCAAUCCCGUAAAAUCGGUCUCAGUCCGGAUUGGAGUCUGCAACUCGACUCCAUGAAGUUGGAAUCGCUAGUAAUCGUGGAUCAGCAUGCCACGGUGAAUACGUUCCCGGGCCUU